rnacentral:tRNA from 1 species
GGAAGUGUAGCUUAGUGGUGGAGCACUUGUCUAGCAUAUUUGAGGCCCUGGGUUCAAUCCACAGUACUUCAC